rnacentral:tRNA from 1 species
AUCAGCAUGGCAUAGUGGUUUGAGCCUUAGAUUAUGACUCUAGGGACAAGGGUUCAAAUCCCUGCUCAAC